ensembl:lncRNA
GGCUUGAGGGCUUACAGGAGUGUCGGGUACACUACGACCUUUACUUGUCUCUUUUACCCAAUUUUGUCCUAGCACUAACAAUUGGAGAUAGUUAAAGAGGUAAGGGAGAUGCGAGUGAAAACCUAACCCAUAGUCAGGCCCACAGCUGUCCUUAUGUGUGUGAGCGACGAUCAGGGUUUAGCAGAAUGUAGCAUUUCCGUGUAGCAGAAAUGAAAUGCCAAGCAGAGGAGCUGAGUUUAAUUACGAGCUAGACUUUCGAAAGCGGGUGAUGAAUUUGGAUUUUAAGUCCGGUUUGCAGCGGUGCAGCACCUGUAGCGCGACCUACUCAUCACUUUUGAAACAGCUGUAGUAAGUAGCCCUUUACUGGCCAACAGGAAACUAGAUCUUGUUCUAGAGGAAAGUUCACAAUUUCAAACUAAAGGUAUUCCAGGUAAUUUGAUGUCUUGAAAACAACAGCAGUAUUGCAAAGGACUCAAAGGUCGUCUUGUGUUAGUAUCUUGUGACACUGAGGUUUUGACCACUUGAAUAUUGAGUCAACCCAGGCAGCAUGGUGUAUUGUAUUUGUGAGAGCCGUUUGUUGAUUUUAUUGUUGUCAUUCUUCAAAUCUGUCAAAUUCAGCAGUCAAGUCUUAUCAAAAAGCAGUCACUGUUAAGAAAUGAGUUAAAGGCAAUUUUAAACACUAAUUUGGGAACAUCAGUACUUAUCUUUUUCAGGGUUGCUUUCAGAAUGGAAAAUAUAUUAAAAGAACAAAUAAGAUACUUUUUUGCUUUAUUCACAGGAUUAAAUAUUAUCAGUUAAUUUCUAUGUUGUAGACCAGAGUUAUUAUAUUUUGCGUUUAGAAGCAUCACGAAACCCAGUUUGAAGAGGCCCCAAAUUAUCAAUUAAAUGACUACUGAGAAGAAAAGAACAUUGAUUAUUUUUUUAAAAAAAUACCUACAGUAUCAUUGUUCGAUUCCUAUGAUUUCUUUCUUUCUUUUUUUUUUUUUUUCGAUACUGGGGAUCGAACUCAGGACCCUGCGCUUGCAAGGCAGGCUCGGUGCCACUGAGCUAAAUCCCCAACCCUCCCAUAAUUUUCUUACUGUCAUUUAUUAUUUAGACUAAUCUUUUUACGUUUGGUUUAACAGGAUCCAGACAAGUGCCACACAUUUCAUUUGCUUAGUGAGGUGUUUUCUAAACCAGUAAGAGGCAAUUAUUCCUCAUUUAAUUUAAUGAAAUAGAAAUAUUUUUCUAAGGAAAAUAUUUGGGUUGUUGAAAAGCACUAUUAUAAAUAUGGAGAAAUUAAAAAUGAAUUCACUAAAAGGUCACCAACAGCCUACUGUAGAAAUUUAAUUGUUAAUGUAAAUAAAUCCUUAAUAUUCUAGGAACUUGUAUUAAUUUAGAAUGUAAUUUGUUCUAGAAGGUCCAGUGAAGGAUUUUAAAUUAUCUUGAAAAAAUAUCUUUUGUCUUAAAACACAGUAACAUGCAUGCCAUAGAUUUGCCACCUAUGGUCUAUAUCUCUACUGAGCUCACUUUUAAAGCAUUUUAAUUGCUUUAUUGUAUAAGUAUAGCUAAUACAUACUAGUUAAUUAAAAAUAAAGAUAAAAAAGAUAUAUAAAAAUCACCACAGGUUGUAGAUAACUUCUCAGUGUCUAAGCAUUCCUACCCAAGAUGUAAUUCCAUUUUUUUUUUUUUUGGUACUGGGCAUCGAACUUGGGACCUGGGGCUUGUGAGGCAGGUGGCAGAACCACUGAGCUAAAUCCCCAACCCUGUAAUUCCAUUUUAACAGUGUUUUGCUUUAAGAAAAUACUUUGGCCAGGACUAAAGGACACAUAGGAAAAUCUCAGAUACUCUAGAUUGAAUAUUAGAAAUCUAAGCAAUGGCAAACUAUAUGUGUACUUUAUGUGAUAAAUGGCAAAGAUUUAAAAUUGGUGUACACAGUUUAUCCUACUACUUUGGGUUAUAGUACUGUUCAGCAUUUAGAAUAAUGACUAACUGCAAAAAUGAUCCUAAAACAUUUUAAUGAAGGGACUGUGAAUGACUAGGACUGUUGUCAGGAGGAAAUUUGAUAUAAUUAAAUAUAAUAUUCCCAUAACUAGGGAAAAAAAGCAAACAUAUUAUCCCCUUGGUUAUUACAGAGAGAAAAAAUAACACAUAUAGUAUACUUUGCAUAAUGCUGACCAGAAAAACAUUCAAUUUUCCCUAGAUGGUUACCAUAGUUACAUGAGCCGUUUAUAACAUCAAGAGAGGGAACUAGGUCACAGUAUUGAAGGAGUUUGAAUUAUGCAAUUAUGUUCCCUAAAGCAGGGGAAAGGUUUAUAACUUAGGGAAAAGAGAUUCAUGUAAUAUGUUCAAAAUUAAAAUUCUG